rnacentral:lncRNA from 1 species
UCGAGGAGCUUUGGACACUUCCUAAGGUGCAGUAUUUCAAGAGCAGUAAGGAACUGUAACCCCCCAACCAACUUCAUUUCUGGGCAAUCCUCAAGGUGCAAAUGCUUGAGAGCACGCAAAUUUGAUAAACAAAGAGAUUCUUGCGCAGAACAUUUUCUAAGGUGUAGUAUUUCAAGAGCAGUAAGGUACUGUAACCCCCCAACUAACUUAAUCUUUCGGCAAUCCUCAAGGUGCAAAUGCUUGAGAGCACGCAAAUUUGAUAAACAAAGAGAUUCUUGCGCAGAACAUUUUCUAAGGUGUAGUAUUUCAAGAGCAGUAUGGAACUGUAACCCCCCAACCAACUUCAUUUCUGGGCAAUCGUCAAGGUGCAAAUGCUUGAGAGCACGCAAAUUUGAUAAACAAAGAGAUUCUUGCGCAGAACAUUUUCUAAGGUGUAGUAUUUCAAGAGCAGUAAGGGACUGUAACCCCCCAACCAACUUCAUUUCUGGGCAAUCCUCAAGGUGCAAAUGCUUGAGAGCACGCAAAUUUGAUAAACAAAGAGACCCACAUUUUCUAAGGUGUAGUAUUUUAAGAGCAGUAAGGUUCUGCA